CAGGAGUGCUUUGGUGUAUCCUUCAUUAAGUGGUUUGGGAAGGACACACACACACCUAUUGUACUGGCAUGUUUUUGGGAGGUAGGAGGAAACCGGAGAACCCGGAGGAAACCCAGACAGACGCCGGGAGAUCGUGUGAAACUGCUGGUGCUCAGGAUCGAAUCAGACACGCUCAUUGUAUUUUCCUUUUAUCAUUUACACUUAUGCUUUAUUUACCUACUAUAAGCAGGAUCCAUCUGUCCAUUUCCCAUACCGCUUAUCCUACACGGGGUCGUAGGGGAGACUCAAGCCUGUUCCAGGUAACUCGGGGCACGAGGUGGGGGACACCCUGGACACGGUGCCAACCCAUCGCAGAGCACAGUCGCCUACAGAGACAACUGCCUACACUACAGACAAUUUGGGAAUGCCAAUCAGCCCACAGCGCCUGUCUUUGGACUGGCGGAGGAAACCGGAGAACCCGGAGGAAACCCCGACGCACGGGGAGAAAAUAAAAACUCCACGCAUACACGGACCGGAAGUGCGAUUCAAACCCCCGACCCCGGAGGUGCGAGGCAAACGUACUAACCACUAAGCCACCGUUCCCGACGACAUGAAAAUUUUAACUAAAUAUUAAAGAAAUAACCAGCUUGAUGGCUCCUUUUCCAAGAACACUCUAACAAGUCAUUUGAUUUACACUCGGUGAGGAAAUAAAAUAUUAAUAAAGCCCUUAGAGGUAAUAUCGAAAAGCAAUCACAGACACAAAAGACCCUUUCGUACCCAGACAGGUUAAUGAUCAAUAACGAAGCAGCUGCCAGGGUCUACAUCUACAGGGUCUGUAAUCUUUAGGCAGACGAGAUAGACGGCAUCUACAUCCACAGCAGAAACCUAUAGAGUCGAUCCAGAGCCUGUUAGUGACGUGCUGAGUAUCUGAGGAUUCAUCUCUUUAGAAAAGAGUUUCGAUUGUUUUGUUUUGUUUUGUUGCCUGGUUAAAGCAGGGCGAAGUCGGCUGUUUGUUUCUCAGGCUUUUCAGUUUCAGGUCUACGCGUGUGACGUGUGACCACCGACGUGUCAAAAACAGGCGCGUGUAGAUUUCACCCCAUGCCCGAGAGCAGGCCGCGGUGUUGCCGCGGUCGCUAUUGAAAGCCUGGUCUUCAAACACAAAGCCACCACCAAUUAAAAUAAAAAAAAAAGAAAGAAAAAAGCAUGAAAUCAAUGCGCCUCCCGACACGGCACCGUCAUCCGUCGUCCGUGCGCCGAUCUCUCAUUUCAUUUCGCCCUGUAGGACGCAGCUCGGACCCGGAAUCCUUCAGAGAGGAGCUUUAUAUUUUUUAAUCCGCUCCUUCAAUUCCCAUCAAUUCCACUUUUCAUGUCAAGUUUCUAACAGUCUGACCCACAAACCAAGUUGGUGAGCUACUUUUUUUUUUUUUUUUUUGUGCCUGGCCUAAAAAAAUAAAACACAAAUUUCUUUCGAUCAUUAGACAUUCAGCUCAAUGAUUUUGUGUCAUGCGCUUUGGCACAGACUUGGAGACGUGCUUUCCAAAUCAAUCAACUUCUCUGUCCUGCAGCAUGGCUUUAUUAUUUUUUUUCUUUAUUUAUUUAAUGAAAUAACCCUCAUGGUUGCUUUAAUAAAAAAGUGUAAUAAAGUGGAAGAGGCAGAUUUCUCUCUUUCAGGCUUUGCUGGAUAAUAGUUUAGAAAGCUAUAUAAACAUUUAAUGUAUUAUAGUACGCGAUGUUUAAAGUAAAAAUUCGUUUGAAUCCACCCUUGGGUUUUUUUCCCCCCCCUUCAAGUGAUCAAAAAUAUUGGAACAGGUGCCUGACGGGUGUUUCUUGACGCCCGGGUGUGCCCUGUUAAAUCGAUUGUUUAAAGAAUUCACAGCGCUGAACGUCCACUCUUGGUCCGAGCCCUGGGUUUUCGUCUGUGGAGACUGCACUUGUUGUUAAAAUGGAUAAACCAACACCAAGCCCAGAGAGCUGUCUAUGGGAGACGAGCAAGCCAUUUUGAAUCUGAGAAAAGAGGAAAAGUCUAUCGGGGCCGUUGCACAAGCGUUACGUAUAACCAAUACAACAAUUCGGGAUGUCCUGAAAAAGAAAGAACCCACUGGUGUACUGAUAGCCAGACGGGUCGGCCAAGGGAAAGAACAGAUGAUGAUCUCAAACGCAGAUAUCUUCAGUCUACAGCAAAAACGAUAGAAUCGACCUUCUGUUCCAAUAGACUGGAUAGUAUAUAAGCUUAUAAUCACAUUCUUGUUUUGUUAAAUAAGGCAUUUGUCCUUGAGUAAAUACUGUACCCCAAAUCCAGCUUUAUAGGGUUACCCCCACUGGUAUGUUCCUGGAAUGAUUCUCACUCAUUCAUCUUCAGUAAGCGCUUUAUCCAGGUCAAGGUCAUGGUGGAGCUUCUCCCGGGAACACUGGAAGGGAUACUGGUUCAUCACAUGGCAUCACACACACACACACACACACACACAGUUGCCAAUCUAUGUUCCGGCAUGUUUUUGGUCAGUGGGAGGAAAGUGAAGAACCC